UGUGAGUAGCUGUGGAAAAUUGUCUGAUACAGCGUCAGAAGGUGAGACGAUGGCGCAAAAAGACCGGGCAGGGUUCCACUCUGCCGUACACAGGGUU